CGGGUGAGUAACACGUGGAUAACCUACCUAUAAGACUGGGAUAACUUCGGGAAACCGGAGCUAAUACCGGAUAACAUGUUGAACCGCAUGGUUCAACAGUGAAAGACGGUCUUGCUGUCACUUAUAGAUGGAUCCGCGCCGCAUUAGCUAGUUGGUAAUGUAACGGCUUACCAAGGCAACGAUGCGUAGCCGACCUGAGAGGGUGAUCGGCCACACUGGAACUGAGACACGGUCCAG
rnacentral:rRNA from 1 species